rnacentral:lncRNA from 1 species
UUUGUUGGCUAAAGCUACUAUCCUAUUAAUAGGAUAGGAGCACUUGUCCUAUCAAAUUGUUCUUGAUGAUCGAGAUUCCGAAUCGAUGAUCGGAGCCGUUGAAGUUGAUCUAGAGUAUUUGAAAUAUCUAGAAACUAAAUUUCAUAAAUUUUAAAAAUUAUUUACAUGGUAAUCAAAGUAUCGUAAAAUCGAUAAUUUUUGACGGCCUAUAUGAGCCGUUUGCUUGUUUAACGGUGUAGAGCAAUCCAAAUUGCUUGAAUUUUUGACAGAAAAUUCUUUAUACUAUUUAGAUAAUGUUUGAUAACUCUGAUUAUGAAUUGAAAAAGUCUAACCUCUAUUUUAAGAAAGUUAUUUAUUUUAUGACCGUUCAUUUUUUAACUCUUAAGAUGAACUUGAUAAUGAUAUUUAAAUAUUACAAAAUUUGGUUUCUAAACAUUUCUAAUUGUGUAGAUCAAUUUCAACGGUGCCGAUUAUCAAUUUGAAGUUCCGAUCAAUCAAAACGACUUGAUAGGACCAUAGCUCCAAUCCUAUUAAUAGGAUAGUAGCCGGACUCCUAUUUUGUUAUAUUGACUAUAAUAGGUUCUUAUAGUAAAGUAAAAAAUUAAAACUAUGUAAUAUUU